rnacentral:rRNA from 1 species
UACGUAGGGUGCAAGCGUUGCCCGGAAUUAUUGGGCGUAAAGAGCUCGUAGGCGGUUUGUCGCGUCGGCUGUGAAAACCUGGGGCUCAACCCCGGGCCUGCAGCCGAUACGGGCAAACUAGAAUUCGGUAGGGGAGACUGGAAUUCCUGGUGUAGCGGUGAAAUGCGCAGAUAUCAGGAGGAACACCGGUGGCGAAGGCGGGUCUCUGGGCCGAUAUUGACGCUGAGGAGCGAAAGCGUGGGGAGCAAACAGG